rnacentral:rRNA from 1 species
AUACGGGAGGCAGCAGUGGGGAAUUUUGCGCAAUGGGCUAACGCCUGACGCAGCAACGCCGCGUGGAGGAUGAAGGUCUUUGGAUUGUAAACUCCUGUCAGCAGGGAAAAAGCGAAUCGGCCUAACACGCCGGUGAGUUGAUUGUACCUGCAGAGGAAGCCCCGGCUAACUCUGUGCCAGCAGCCGCGGUAAUACAGAGGGGGCAAGCGUUAUUCGGAAUUAUUGGGCGUAAAGGGCGCGUAGGCGGCUUGGCAAGUGGAUGGUGAAAUCCCUCGGCUUAACCGAGGAACUGCCAUCCAGACUGCUUUGCUUGAGGCCGGGAGAGGCGAGUGGAAUUCCCAGUGUAGCGGUGAAAUGCGUAGAUAUUGGGAGGAACACCAGUGGCGAAGGCGGCUCGCUGGACCGGUUCUGACGCUGAGGCGCGAAAGCGUGGGGAGCAAACGGGAUUAGAUACCCCGGUAGG